UCUGCCGGAGCUGCAGCUGUGUGAAGGAGCCGGUGUUAGAGCUGAGAUCAGAAGAACAGUCCAUCUGUACAGAGAUGUGGUCUCUGGUCUUGGUGCUGGUAAGGGGUCUGACAGCUGCAGGAUGAACCAUCUCCAGAUGCUGUGCUCACUGUUGAGCCAACACUGACUGAGGGACAGUUAUGGACAGAGCUGCCAGCCUCCAUCUGGCUCUCAGAUGACAGGCGGAGCCUCUGGGCUGCUCAUUGUGGAGCUGACAGUCCUCCUGCAGGUGAAGGAGCAUGUGCAGCAGCUGGCCUGCAGGGGGCAGCACCCACCUGAGGAGUUGAGACAUCAGUGAGAUCCUGCCAGGCUGGUCUGGAUGAGACCCGGUCUCAGUCCACCUGCUGAAGGUCUUCAGUACACCUGUGUCAGACUGAUCUGCUGAGACUGAAAAGAAAAUGUUCUGGAUAAUGUCUGAAGAUUUCACCAACAUUUAACUUCUAUAAGAUAUGAUCAUAAACCUGAUGUGAUCAUACAGUAAUGUAAAAUCUCUGUGAAUCAAAUGUGUAUGUGUUCAAAAUAAA